AUUGAACGCUGGAGGCAUGCUUUACACAUGCAAGUCGAACGGCAGCGCGGGCUUCGGCCUGGCGGCGAGUGGCGAACGGGUGAGUAAUGCAUCGGAACGUGCCCAGUAGUGGGGGAUAGCCCGGCGAAAGCCGGAUUAAUACCGCAUACGACCUGAGGGUGAAAGCGGGGGACCGAAAGGCCUCGCGCUAUUGGAGCGGCCGAUGUCGGAUUAGCUAGUUGGUGGGGUAAAGGCUUACCAAGGCGACGAUCCGUAGCUGGUCUGAGAGGACGACCAGCCACACUGGGACUGAGACACGGCCCAGACUCCUACGGGAGGCAGCAGUGGGGAAUUUUGGACAAUGGGGGCAACCCUGAUCCAGCCAUGCCGCGUGCGGGAAGAAGGCCUUCGGGUUGUAAACCGCUUUUGUUCGGGAAGAAAUCCUCUGGGCUAAUACCCCGGGGGGAUGACGGUACCGGAAGAAUAAGCACCGGCUAACUACGUG
rnacentral:rRNA from 1 species